CCGAUAUUCCCCAAGCUCUCCUCGCCGGAUUUUCCGCAACUCUUCUUCUCGUCGGAGGUAAUGUUCUUAAUGUCUGGAUUUCCCCAACCCUAAUGUUCUACUUCGAUCCUAAUGUUGUACUCCUUAUGGGUCUUCGUUCUGUAAAUAGAAAUGAUCAAGGUUCAUUCUGUAAAUGAGUUUGUCUUCAUUCUGUAUAUGAUGAUUCUGUAAAUGAUGAUCCUUUUCAAUGCUUUAGGUAGUCCAAAAUGUGAUUCAGCCUUGUACCUUUCUAAAUAUUUUUGUAAAUGUUCUCUAAAUGGAUUUUUGUAAAUGUUCUUCCAAUCAGUUUCUGUAAAUGUUUUUGUAAAUGUUCUGUAAAUGGAUUUCUGUAAAUGUUCUUCCAAUCAAUUUCAGUAAAUGUUUUUGUAAAUACUUAAAAAUGUUUCCGAUAAAUUUUACUUAGAAAGUAGUACUUUUGUAAUGUUUCUGUAAAUGUUCUGUGAAUGUCCUUCUUAGCAAAAAGAUAAUUAAUUUCUGUAAAUGGAGGUUCUUCCGGCAUGCAAAUCGAUACCUUCAACUUGAUUGAAACAACGAGUGACAAGUCUUGCUUUCCGGAGGCUAAAGGUGCCAUUAGAAUUCUUCUUUACCUUAAAUAUCCAUUUGCACCUUUUGGAGGGACCACAAGUGACCAAGUUUUGUUUCUGUUGAGUGUAUUUAGUUCCUCCUCCAUAGCCAAUCUCCAUUCCGGUGAUUGAAGAGCUUUUCUUACCGACGUGGGUUCCUCCACACUUGUAGUGCAUCCGACGUGGAAAUACAGUGCAUCCGAAAACCCACAAAAAAUUGUAAUUAGAACUAUGACCAAACAAUUUUGUGUAAGAUGGGACACCAUG
rnacentral:lncRNA from 1 species